AGAGUUUGAGUCCUGGCUCAGGAUGAACGCUGCGGCGCGCUAACACAUGCAAGUCGAACGAUUAAAGCACCUUCGGGUGUGUAUAAGUGGCGAACGGCUGAGUAACACGUGGGCAACCUGCCCCUUUCGAUUGGGAUAGCCACGGGAAACCGUGGAUAAUACCGAAUACUUCGAGACUUCCGCAUGGAAGACUCGAGAAAGCUCCGGCGGAGAGGGAUGGGCCCGCGGCCUGUUAGCUUGGUUGGUGGGGUAACGGCCUACCAAGGCAAUGAUGGGUAGCUGGGUUGAGAGACCGACCAGCCAGAUUGGGACUGAGACACGGCCCAGACUCCUACGGGAGGCAGCAGUGGGGAAUCUUGCACAAUGGGCGAAAGCCUGAUGCAGCGACGCCGCGUGCGGGAUGAAGGCCUUCGGGUUGUAAACCGCUCUCAGCAGGGACGAGGCGAAAGUGACGGUACCUGCAGAAGAAGCCCCGGCUAACUACGUG
rnacentral:rRNA from 1 species